UUGGAGGGACGGGACUGAGCUCCUAGGGACCAAAUGGAAGUGAAGCUGGGUGUGGGUGACAUUCGCUUUUGUUUGUAGUGUGGUGUGUAGGUGUCAACUAACAGUACUUUCCUGGUCCCUACUUCGGGUUCCCAGCUAUAUCUAAUAAUAAAAAUAAUAAUUUUGGAGGGUCCCGUGGAUGGUUCAGCGGAUAAAGAAUGGUAUUUGCCACCAAGCCGCCGACCUGAGUUCCAUCUUCAGAAGCCACAAGAGGAUUCUACAGACCCAACUCAGAUUCUCCAGAUCAAUAGAAGCCCCAGGCCUGCAGGAUGAAAGCAAGGUUAGAGCCCAGAGCAGCCACGUUGCGUCUUCUGGAAUGUGCUGGAUAUGAGAGAUUCUGCUCCAACUGGGGAAAGCAUAGCACGGUUGGAAUGGAAAUGCGCAGUCAUCCAAACACUCUUCAUUUCUCUUGGAAUUUUUGAGAAGUCCUGUGAAGGUCCUGGAGAAACGGCUCAGCGGUUAAGAGUACUUGUUGAUCACAUCAAGGACCCAGGUUUGAUUCUCAACACCCAUGGGACAGUUCACGGCCACCUCUAACUCCAGUUUCAAAGGAGGAUACCCUCUUCAGGCCUCUAUGGGUACUGCAGACACAUGAUGCAUAGA